CCCAGUUCCCUCAGCCGCUCCUCGUAAGACUUGUUCUCCAGACCCCUCACCAGCUUUGUUGCCCUUCUCUGGACUCGCUCGAGCACCUUGAUGUCCUUCUUGUGUCAAGGGGCCCAAAACUGAACACAGUACUCGAGGUGUGGCCUCACCAGAGCCGAGUAGACCUGACAUACUCCAACUUUUAAGAUUUGGUGUGGCCUUCUACUGCCUUGUUAAAAUUCAUUUAUUACGGUAAAAAGAAGUAAAGUAUAAUAGUUCUUACUUGUGGGAAAUUGAUAGUUCAUGCUCUCAGCAGCUUUUCACAGCAACUUCUCAGAAAAUAUCAGCCCAUAACCAUCUUAAGGAACUGCUCCUAUCCCAAUAUUUCUAAAUAUAGAAAAGAAGUCUCACUAGUUACAAGUCUUUCUCUCUAAGGACUUUGAUACAAUGGAAUUUUUCAAAAAUAGAAAAUGGGAUCACAUGAUAAAAUACUUGGCAAUAUCUUUAUAAGAAAUAUUUAUACAUUCUGAUUAUGUCAUAACAAUGGUAUAAUAGUUAGGCUUUGCACUGCUGUAGGAGAGUAAUAAAAAUUAAGAUUAUACCUCAUGGAAAUUUUUAUUCUUUCACUAAAUAUCUAGAUUUUUUAAAUUGUCAGUUACCAUCUUUUUUUGUGUCUUCAUCCAGCUUUAUUUUGUACAUUAUAAUUCUUUUAGUACUGAAGUUUUUAACUAUAUAAUACAGUGUACAUCUUUCUGUCGUAAGAAAAGACUUUUACUUCAGCUGUGGUAGUACUUAUGGAUAUCAAGCAAGUAUUAAUUCCCUUUUCAAUCACUAGAUGCUCUACAGACAGCAGAAAAGCAGGUCCUUUCCUGAGAGCUCACCACCCAAGAUUUAGGUGAUGUGCAGGGUGGAAUAAACAGGCCAAAAGAGGGAUGGACGACUGGGUAACAACAGAGCUUUUCCCCAGAUUUCACCACCUCUUUGGAGGCCUGGGUCAGCACCACCGUCUGCUGCCAGCCCUCCCAGCGUGCACAAGCUAUCCCUGCUCCCAAGAUACUGAGGUAAUUCCCUGACCAAGCUGAAGAAGGGAGGAGCGUAAAUAUCCUCAAGGGCAAGAAAGUGCCCAGAUUUUUCUUAUCCUUAUCUGGCACCCCCUUCUAAGACGGGAGGAGGGAUGCUGGC
rnacentral:lncRNA from 1 species